AUGAAAUUGGACGCCAAGCUCGACCUCUGGUCAGGCCACAUCGACGAGGUCAAGGUCUCGUUCGGUGUCGACCUCGACGAACUGCAGCAAGGGCUUGACAGGCCACCUCCAACUCCGCCAACUGCUGAACCUGAGAGGAGCGCGCCGAUUUCCCCAAGGCGACCGUCGAGCAGCGGCUCCGCUGGCUCGGACAGGCACCGCACUGAAGGAGAAAAUCAUGGACCUGGGCAUGGAGUGUAUGUUCCGCCUCCGAUCCGAGCUAUGCAUCAAGAGCAAGCCCUACAACGUGUUCCAUUUGCACCUCUAGAAAAUUCCGGACAGAUUUCUGUUGAUGUGUUCGGGGUGGGGCCUCGAAUGGAAAUGCCUCGCUUCGACGGCACCAAUCCGAAAUUGUGGCAAACUCGAUGUGAAGAUUAUUUCAGGUUUUGGGGCACACCACAGAAUCAGUGGAUCUCUCUGGCAUCUUCACUGUUUGAAGCAUCAGCUGCUAGAUGGCUCGAAUCAGUUCGCCGUCGAGCACCCAAUGUCACCUGGGAUUAG
rnacentral:rRNA from 1 species